UGAAAAGCACUUGCUGCCUUCCAUCAAGAGGCAGAACAGAGAGAGAGAGAGAAUUUGGCUCUGUCGUAGUAAUGCAGGGUGAGGGAUGCAGGACAGAGGAGUGUGGCAGAAGCACUAGGAUGAUAAUUUUUGCACAGCUAGAAAUGCAGUGAGUAACCUAGUCUGUAAUUUAUACAAUUUGUGUCUUCUCCUUCUGUCAUUGGUUCUUUUUCUUUACAUCUCACCUUAAAGAUACUGUCUUUUGUAUGUAACCUGGGAUGCCACCAGCAUCCAGAAAAGCUGUGAUAUGGUCUGUACUUAAACAAGAAAAUGUCUUCAAAGCAGAAUGGGAAGUGAUGGACAGUUCAGAUUCUCAAAGAGACAAGACUUGCUUGGAUUUGUUCUACUUCACUUUUCUCUUCGUUGUCUGCAGAAAGAUCCUAGUGUGACUUGGAUGCUUGGAUGUAAAUGAAUAUCUUGCAGUUACACAAAACUGAUGCGGUAACAACAACCCAGAGCCUGCUCUGCCAACAGCCCAUCUCCUUCUCCAAAGCUUCACCACCCAUGUGGGCCCUGACCUUUGACGUCUGCAGAUGGACCUCGCGCUCCUCAGCUCACACCUGUUGGUAGCCAGAGCCAACAAGAGUCAGGAGCAGCACCAGAAGAUCUCUUGGGAUAAGGAUGGUGAGCUGAAGGGCAAUGAAGUCAUACUUAGAGCACUGACAGGACCCUACCAAUCAGCUUAUGCCACCAAUUGGCUACAGCCACCCAAAGGGCAGAGAUUGGAGGAGGCACUGUGGUGAAUUUUUAAUUUGUUGUGGAUACAGAAGACAAGAGUUGGAACUGCUGUUCUGGAGAAGAUCUGUUAGCCAGAGCCCAACUAGGAACCAGAAGGAACAUCACAGCCUGAGGCCCUACGCUGACAAGGGGAACAAAGCACUUCAUGCUUCUCCAAGCUCUUUCCCGGACUUGGUGUGAAACCCAAGACACCAUUCAUGGGAAAGAGCAGCAGAAAGUGGCAGGUCACACUGCAGAGCAGUGGCAGGUCUUGGUCUCCCAACUCUCCUAGCCUAUUGUUUGCUGUCAGGGCACAGAAGAAGCCUGAAACCACUGUACCAGCCAGGCUUGAGUAUAAUAUUUGAUGCAGUCUUAGAAAACUGAGCCACUGCAAUGUUCUGCUGUGAUUUUUUUGACAUUCUGCCUGUGCUACUGGAAGCACAGUGACAGCAGUCAUCCCCAGCUUCCUGGCUUGUCAUGUUAUGAAGAAAAAUCUUGCAGGCUGCCUUUCACUUGCUUUUCUGCCCUAGCAAGUCUGUGCCCCGGAAGGCAGACAAAUGAGUCUUGUCUCCCAGAUGUGUCCAUGUUUUUCCCAGAGAGCUCACAAGCCCUUCUAUUUCCCUUGUCUCAGUCUCUUCCAAGUAUCUUCCGUAGAUUUUUCAUUGAAACCUCUCCAUCAAAUAAUCUAUUUGUUUUCCCAAUAGUGGAGAAGCAGCUGAAGAACAAGAAAGCUUUAGGACAGGUGCACAGAGAAUCAAUAUGAACACAUAAAUAUCUACAUUGAGAGGAAACAAAACACGUAUGGGUUUGGUUUUGUUUGUUUGUUUUUGGGUUUGUUUGUUUUUGUUUUUGUUUGUCUUGAAAUAAGAAUGAAUAGAUUUAUUUACCACUGGUUUCAAGCUCUCACAAUGGAUUUAUCACCUGAAUUAAAAAUGCUGAAAAACUUCAAAAGAAUGUUUUUAUUGUUUUUGUCUCUAAAUAAAUGCAUAGCUGUGACUAUAACUUCAGCAAUGCCUUUGUAUAAACCCUGAAGAUACACAGCUGCCUGUUCUAGCCCCAAAAUAUUUUGUUUACAGUAGAAUGAAAUUUGUCAUGCAAAGAAAUCUUUACAUUUUUGUUUUGGCAUGUUUAUCAGUUAAAUUAACUUCUGACAAUAAACAUAAUCAUUCAUCUGUGGAAAAUGCCUACAUAAACUAAUGUACGAUAUCUUUAGGAGUAUUUAUAAUAUAUCUCCAGAGUGUUUCCGGGGUUUCUUGCCCCAGUUGAUCUUAUUUUGAGGUAUGCACUGGGGAGAUCUCACCUGGAGUACUGUGUCCAGGUGUGGAGUCUUCAGUGCAGGAGAGACAUGGACCUGUUGGAGUGUGCCCAGAGGAGGGCCACAAAAAUGAUUCAAGGGAUGGAACACCUCUCCUACAUGGACAGGCUGAGAGAGCUUGGGCUGUUCAGCCUGGAAAAGAGAAGGCUCCAGAAAAACCUGAUAGCAGCCUUUACGUAUUUAAAGGGGAGCAACAGGAAAAAAGGGGACAGACUCUUCAGCAGGGUCUGUUGCUACAGGACAAGGGGAAAUGGCUUCAAGAUCAAAGAGGGUAGAUUUAGGUUAGAUAUAAGGAAAAAGUAUUUUACAGUAAGGAUGGUGAGGCACUGGAACAGAUUGCCCAGUGAUAUCGUUGAUGCCCCAUCCCUGGAGACUUUAAAGGCGAGACUGGAUCAGUCUCUGGGCAAUCCGAUCUAGCUGUGCAUGUCCCUGUUCAUUGCAGGGGAGCUGGGCUAGAUGAUUUUAAUGGUCCCUUCCAACUCUAAGGAAUCUAUGAUUCUAUAAUACUUCACAGCUAUGAGAAGUAUUACAAAGGAAGCUAAAAUAGAUAAAGGUAGAAGGAUUCUGAAACAGUAAAAUUUGUGCAUGUACUCUGUAGAAACAGAAGUACAGCUUGAUCAUGCUUUUGGAGGUUGUGUUUCAAGUCUGGAAGUAAUUCCCUUUGGAAUUACAAAUUAUGCCAUGUUUUUACUUCAGGUUACUGAAUGUGGCAUUAUCUUCAUAAUCUGUUGCUAAUCAAAC
rnacentral:lncRNA from 1 species